rnacentral:lncRNA from 1 species
CCAAUACCGGAAAAGUUGAAAAGAAAUUGCACUCCGUGAAAGGCGACCACGAAAUCCUACCUUAACAACAAGAACUCCAUGAUGAAUCUAUGAAGAAUAUCUGUAAAAAGAGAGAGGAGAAAAGAAAAAAAGAUCGAAUCGAAAAGCGGUAGAAACUGGGAGAAAACCCUAGCCGCAAUGGCCGAGUGAGUGUAAGUGCAAACGAAGAGCCAACUCGAUAGAUAAACGCAUAUAGUUAUUUUGCGUUGUUCGACCGUUUCUAUAUAUCCUCCCUCGUGCGGUAUCGCAACAAUAUACUAUAACUUGGGGAAUUAUCAAAAAUAGGAUAAUUUGGAAGGAUGUAAAGAGUUUUGAGAUGAAUUUUAAAAAAGAUGACUUUUAGGACAAAUUAGUUGGAAAAAGUCUAUAUUACCCUCAAGUUAAAAAAUAUCCUAAAAUCAAUUUAUGAAUCCUCUCUUCUCCUUCUCCCUCCGUUUUUUCACUUUCUAAAAAUGUUUCAUUUUUCUCUCAUCCCUCCCUCUGGUGUUCCAUUUUCCCUCAUUUUCACGAAAUUUCCUUUUUCUUCCUUUUCCAUUCUUUAAUUCGUUUUCUUGAAAUUUCUUUCUGAAGCUCUUCCCAUGGUCUCCCACCGGCCUUUGAAAACCAUUUUCUCCAUUUUCUCACUUCCAAAAAGAAUAUUUCAUUUUUCUCUCAUCUCUCUCCAUUUUCAUACAUUGUGGGAUAAAUUGGCCUUCCUAAUUCUAAGAGCAUGAAAAUGUUGCUCUCACCUGCAUUGUUGUACAUUAUAUAAAAGUUCUGCACACUUUACAAUUUUCCAAGAUAAUGAAAUAAAAAUUGCAUACCAAAAAACAAAAAUGGUAUUCAUUCCAUUAUAUAAAACUAUUUAUGUACAUAGUUUGGAACAUAUACAAUUCCUUCAAAAGUUGGAACUAAAAGUCAAUACAUGGGAUUGUUGGUCCAUAAUUGAAAUGCCAAUUGUUUUCUAAAAUAUGACAUGUUUUCUUGACAUAAUGUAGCUACAUCUAAACCAGAAGCUUCAUAUUCGAAAUACUUAAUUGUAAAUACACCACAAUCACUAUUGUUGCGUUGAAGUGGAAUGGAGUCGACAAUGACAAGUGGCCAAGGUUCCUUGUGUGUUGAUGAUCCGCCUCUCCUAACAAAGAAUCCAGUAGCAUCGAGCAAAUUUGGCACCAUCUCUUGAAUUGGCUCUAAUAUGCUUCUCAUAUCUUCGGCACUCGUCAGCGACGGAAGCGAAUCCCAUACCUUAACUUGACAACGUACCAAGUCCAAGCAUAAUAGAAUCCAAUGAUUGCCAUGGAUAUUGAAUGGAGAGUAAAUGUAAUCAACAUUCACCCAAGGAUCUUGACAGUCUUGUUUUGAUCCGACAACAUAGUCAACCUGCUUACUAAAUGUGAUAAACUACUUACUAUAGACUGAAAAUGAUGAGCAGGGUCAAUCUUGUACAUGGGACCGUUAGUUGAUGUUGAAGCCAUACUGAAACCUGCAUAAAAAAAAACUAAUUAAAUAUAAUUGCAUAAGAGACUUACUAAACAUGGAUGCACUAGCAUCUUGGGACUUCUACUCAAAAUUUUGGAAGGUGAGAGAUAGGUGCGAGAUGCUGGAAAACUUCAAGGCAAAGUUGCUAAGUCUAAUAAAAUUGCUAACCCUAAAGCCUUAACACCUAGUAGAGUAGCUAAACAUGCAUUCUAAACGGUUUAGGAAGGUUAACACUCUCAUCUUGGGACUUCUACUCAAAAUUUUGGAAGGUGAGAGAUAGGUGCUGAUAGGUGCGAGAUGCUGGAAAACUUCAAGGCAAAGUUGCUAAGUCUAAUAAAAUUGCUAACCCUAAAGCCUUAACACCUAGUAGAGUAGCUAAACAUGCAUUCUAAACGGUUUAGGAAGGUUAACACUCUCAUCUUGGGACUUCUACUCAAAAUUUUGGAAGGUGAGAGAUAGGUGCUGAUAGGUGCGAGAUGCUGGAAAACUUCAAGGCAAAGUUGCUAAGUCUAAUAAAAUUGCUAACCCUAAAGCCUUAACACCUAGUAGAGUAGCUAAACAUGCAUUCUAAACGGUUUAGGAAGUUUACACUCUUAUAUUGGGACUUCUACUCAAAAUUUUGGAAGGUGCGAGAUAGGUGCUGAUAGGUGCGAGACGAUGGAAAACUUCAAGGCAAAGUUGCUAAGUCUAAUAAAAUUGCUAGCUAAACAUGCAUUCUAAACGGUUUAGGAAGUUAACACUCUUAUAUUAGGACUUCUACUCAAAAUUUUGGAAGGUGAGAGAUGAUAGGUGCGAGAUGAUGGAAAAUUUCAAGGCAAAGUUGCUAAGUCUAAUAAAAUUGCUAACCCUAAAGCCAUAACACCUAGUAGAGUAGCUAAACAUGCAUUCUAAACGGUUUAGGAAGGUUAACACUCUCAUCUUGGGACUUCUACUCAAAAUUUUGGAAGGUGCGAGAUAGGUGCUGAUAGGUACGAGAUGAUGGAAAAAUUCAAGGCAAAGUAGCUAAGUCUAAUAAAAUUGCUAACCCUAAAGCCUUAACACCUAGUAGACUACCUAGACUAGCUAAACAUGCAUUCUAAAGAUUGUAUUCUAUUGGAACUACAUCACUAAAAACAUUAACAAAGUAGAGAACAACAAUGCAGCUUAUGAUAAUGUCUUUCAACAAAUUGCAAAGGAAAUGGUCUUUCAACAAUGCAGCUUAUGAUAUUCUAUUGUACUGGUAGCUUUGCAGAGUUUAUAUGGGGUACCAAAUAUAUGUUCGAAUUCAAGUUCUAAACUCCAAGGUAUGGUUUUUCUAUUAUUACAGUACAUUGCAAAGGAAAUGAUGGAUACGGCACUGCCAACGUAGAGGAGUGGAUAAGAAAUGGAGAGGUCCGGUGAAAACAAACCUGAAAUCGAAAUGGAUGGAAGUGGAGAAGCGUCCGCCGGAGUUGAAGUCGAAAGUAAAACAGAGACACGUGCAAUGUCAGUAGUACGACUCUCCUUCCUUGCAUUUUGAAGAUUAGUGAAUAUCCCUUCAAGGUCAUUAACACAAUUCUUUUCUUUUUCCUUCAAAACCUAAUGAGAAGUAGAUUGAUAUUUACUCUUCAAACCCUUUGGCAUUGAUCCGUCUCUUUUCUUCCACCAAAAUUAUCUUAGCAGCAACUGAAAAAAAAAGAAAUCACAAUGAAGCACCAACCCUAUAUAUAAAGUCCGUUCAGAUUGCAAAACAGAAUCUACCCAAAAGGAAAAAAAUCAUAUGGGCUUUCGAAACAAAUACAUUUCUAAUGCUACCAUUGAAUAUUCAUCCACUCCCUCUUACUCAGUUCAAAAAAUAGGAGACUGAAUUGGAAACAAGUAAAAUUGUAACCAUUAUAACGAUCAUAAAAUGAUCACAAAAUUUCACCUAAGCUAAUCCAUCCUUACCUAGGUCUCUAUUUAAAAUUUCGGCAAAAUCUUAAACAUGUUUUUCUAUCAUGUACUAAUUCACCGUGAUCUCUGUGUGCCAUCAUCAAAGAUUCGACUCUCAGUAAGCGGUCUUUUGAUUCAACCCUAAUUCACGUAUUAAAAAGGAAGAAAAACAGAAAUAAACAAAGAAUAGUUACCCACCAAAUUGCUGAAUAUUUGAGUCGAAAAUCAGAGGAAAGUUUGGAGGAAGAAGAUUAGGGGGUUUAGUUUUUUCCUUAGAGAAGUAACAAGUGUAGCUUUGGCUCUUUGUUCAGAUCUUUUCAGUUCACACCGGAGGAGCGACGAACGACAUCCGAGAAGCGAUGAUAUGCACCGAAGUAGAAGGAGAAGAAAGCGAAUGUGUGUGUGUGUGUUUUUUUUUUUUUUUUUUGCGUUUUGUUUCUGCGUUGAGGAGAAGGAAUGGAAGGUAAAAUGAAUUAAGGGUAAUUUAGACAAUUCACACAUAAUUUGUCCUAGAAAUCAACUUUUUAAAAAUCAAUCUCAUAAAUCUUUUAUUCCUCCAUUUUUGGCUUAUUUUUGUUAAUUUCCCCUAUAACUUAUAGCUUCAUUUAUUUGUUUAUUUAUGUUUUCAAAUAUUAUCUAUAAUAUAUUACAUUCCAUUUCAUAUUUAGAUAUCUAUCACUCAAACUUUAAGAUACUGUAUUUUUUAAAAAUUGAUAUGUUUUGAUCUUUAUUUUUAAAAACAUAAAAUUAAUCAUUUAACGCUAACGUCGAUUGAGAAUGAUAUUUUAGAAAGAGUUGACUAUAAAGAGUGAUGACUCACUCUUUUUAUUCACAUUUUAUUAGUUUCGUUUUCUUUUGUUAGUUAUUAUAAUUAUAAGAAACACCUGUAGACUAAUUUUCAUAUAUUACCAUUUUUCUUUAAGAAAAAAGUCCUAAGUUACUUGGUGGGUUGGUUGGAAUCUCUAACAAGAGAGACGACAAAUUUCCAUCCUUUUUUUCUCGUUCCCCCAUAAAUGAUAACUUUAUCAAGGCCUCCAUUAAUGUCAAGUUUAACAACUUCUACACUCUUUUAACUAGUGAUCUCUUCAACACAAUAACUUUAUUCAUUGUGAUGAUAUUUUUGGAAAACUUUUGAUUUAAAGGCAUCAAUCAAUGUGGAAAAAUAUUAGACCAAGAGUGAAUGAUCUAUCUUAGCUUCGUGAUUGAUCUAUCUUAGCUUCGUGAUGCGUAAGUCAUGAUCAAGGGUUAAAGAUGAAGUCAUUGAACAAGAAGUGUACGUAGAGGAAUCCAUAGCUUACAUUUAGUAUAGAAAAUCCGAGAAAUAAAACACACAAGAGAUAGUUUAAACUAACAAUUAAAAACAAACAGUGCCAAUAUGGAUCAUGCACAAGGUGUACCAAAUUGAAAGGAGCAGAGAGAUAACUAAAUUCCUUCAACAAAAUGACAAAUGUGUAGAUAAACUUAACUACUUUAAACAAACGAUUGCUUAUGAAACGGACCUUAGUUUAUUUUACAUUCAAUUAGAUACUUUCAGAAGGAAAAUUCAUUCCAUAUACUUGACAAAUAGCAAAAAGCAAUUAUCGGAACCAUUAAGAGCAACAAAUGAAAAACAAAACGCCAAAUUCAGAUGGGGAAGAAGGAAGUCCAUAAAUAAACAGUUUGAUCUGGCAAACAGUCUUGAAACAACAGUUGAAAACACACAAAGAAAGGUGGACAAGGGAAAAUACAAGGACUUUGACAAUUUACACCUAAACAAAUUAAACUUAAAAAUCAUUUUGAUACAGGAGAGACUAUAUUAUUCUAGUCAGUUUCCUGCCCCAGAUCAAAAACACAGUUUUGUAAGGGAAAAUUUAUUUGCGAAAUUUACUUCGCACCUAAGGUUGGGAACUGCCCAGGGUCUCCAAUGGAUGGGGCUGCAACAUUGCUCAUCGGGCUGCCACUGUAUCCUCCCCUUGAACCACGUCCACGACCCCUUCCUCGGCCACCAGGGGCGUAGUGACGCUCUCCGUCCGCAGGCCUCAAAAACUCGUUGAUACUCAAAGACUAAGUGAAGAAGAAAAACAUCAGUCAUUUAACCUUUUACAGGGUCUAGAACGGCCAAAACAAUGUUGUAUGGCAAGCAAAAUAAAAACUCCUUUAUGCUGAUAUGAGCCUAAUUAGAAGUUAGAACCAAAGCUUUGUAUAAGAAAAUAUUUGGAAGCAAAUUCUAUCAUUUGGAAUAAAGACUACUUUAACGCAUUAAAUUCAUUUUUUUGGAAGUCUACUAUAAUCAAAUUGAUGGAUGAUUUCAUUGCAAUCAUUUUGCCAAAUAAAACUCAUCAAAGCACAAUUUAAAAUAACCUUAGUUUCCUCUAAUAAUGGUUCUAAAAAUUGAGUAAUAUUAUCAUAUUCAAUUUCUUCCGGUCAGUCUCAGCAUGGGCUCACAAAGUAUGCCGUCACCUCUACCUACGUUAAUAGGUCAUCAGUGCAAAUUUCAACCACUGAUAUAAUAUUCUUAAAAGAAAAAGUAAUUCAAUUAAAUUUCUUAAGGUAGGUUCGGAAUAAACCAAAUAAAGAGCAUCCUAUGUGCUGGCGGACAUCAACAUUUUCAAAAUGUAAGGCUCAUGCCUCAAGGAUAGAAGGUUUCUGAAGUUAGAGUAGCCUUUAUUUAUUUUGAACAAGAGGCACGCUCCUCCAUGGUUACACUAUUGAAACGUGGAAAGCAUAUGCUUCAUACAUAAUUGACUUCGGAGAAAAUUUUAGUACUAGUGUCAGGUUGUGGGUCUGUUUAAUGGGAUGAGUGCCGAAAAGACAACAUUUAUUUGUCACUAAAACAAACAACUUGCACAUUAUCUGAAGUAUAAAACUCAAUAAUUUAUGCCUGAAAAGUAACAGGUCACACUAAAAGACAGCCAUAAUUUUGUCUUCCUUUGUAGGUGGGAAAGGUGUUUGGGGCGCUAAGAGACGAGACAACCUAAAAGGUCUGUUCUUUCUCUCGAUUUUUUUUUCCUUUCCUCGUUUACCAUUUCAUUUUUGUCUCUUUUUCUUUGUUCAUUCAAUUCAUCAAAACAACUUUGGAAAAAAUAUAGGCUCGUAGGGUCUAGAGUCUAGAGUCGCAUUGUUUAUCUUCUUGGGGCAAGGCAAAAUUUUAGUCUUUCCAGUUUCGUUUCUCCAUUAUGAGAAUGAUCUUAGAUGAAUAAUAACUCGUGAAAACUAAUGUAUAUUGAUCGGAAAUUGAGAUUUUUCAUUUUAUCUUUUACUAUGUGUUGUGUGUUAUGCAUUAAUUGUUAUGUUCAAAAUGAGAUUUAUGGCUAAAUACUUGCCCUUGCGUCACUAAGGAAAACAAAAGCUGGUGGCUGCCCUAAGACUUUUAAAAUUUUGCCAGGCGUAGGGUAAAACCCGAGUAAACAAUUUAAAAGUCAGAAAUAUUUAAAGAAGAUGAGAUAAUAAUACCUUCUUAGUUCUCUCCUCUUUAUCUGCCAUUUCUUUUCGCUUAUCCUUUUCAGAUCCCUACAAGUGGGGUAACAAAUGAGAUAAAACUGUCAAGUCCUCAUUUAAUGCAAGGCCAAGGGUCAUCAGAUCCCAUAGGGGAUAUAUCAACAGCGAAAGAGUGUUAAGUAGGUGUACCAAUUUAAUAAAUAUGUCAUUGUUGUCCUUCUUGCUUGAAAGUUGUUGCAUGGAUGCAAAUUCUUUAGGAUCCACCUUCCUCUCCUCAGUUUUUAGAGCUAGAAGGGCCUUCCUUUUAUCCUCAAGCAACUUUUCAUACUCCUCCAGAGUCAUUUCCUGCAUCGAAAAAAAAAGAGUACAUUAGAUUCAAAAUCAAGUCAAACAGUACAAAAGACUUCGCAACCCAAGCCCAUCAGAUUGAUAUACGCAUUCAAAUUUACAACUGCUACACGUAUCAAAUUUAUGCUACUAGAAGUGAAGUAAUAAAGCCUGUUCAACUUGACAUGCAAGCAAAACUACAAGUCGCUUUUCAGCCAGAAGAAAAUCAAAACAAGUGAGAUAGUAGGUCCCACAUUUAUGGGAAGUUUACUAAAAUCUGAAGAUACUAACCUUGUCUUCUGGUUCGGUUUCCUGUGGUUCUUUAGCAGGGUUCUCCGUGUUCACACCUGAUGUAUCAUCCUCUUGAAUAGGCUUUUCGUCACCCACAUUCUUUUCAGUUUCAUUAACGGUUUCCCCUGCUACCCUAAAUAUAAAACAGAAAUUUUAGGCAUAACUAGUUGUCAAGGAGAGAACAAUCUUAUUAGCAUACAAGAGAUAAUAACAUGAGCAUAAAAAUGCAACCCUCUCCCUGAAAAGAAAAAUGAAGUUAGCCAAGCUCCCCGUAUACGAUGUGGUUGAGAGCAUCUUCCACAUAUUGAGAAAGGAAUGCCUGACUAUAUAAAUUUGUCUUUCAAGCCAACCUGGCAGCUUCUAUGAGAAGGAUUGAGAAGAAGGCUCAUGUACGCACAAUUACACAUAAUACCUGGAAAAAGACAUGCAUGAAGAUUGAAGGUAUACACAUGUACUUACUCAGCAAAUUCGUCGGUUGACCUUCCCCAAUUUCCACGACCAGACCCUUCUCGUUUAAAUUCAUUUCUAGGCAUAAAAUCAGGAAUAAAGCGUCAAAACAGUGUAGAAUAUACAGCAGGAGUGUGCACAAUAAAAUUUAAAAGAACAGACAAUAGACACUUACCCACGACCAGUUCCACUGUGGCGUUCAAAUGCUCUACGAGGGCGUUCCCCUUCAGCACCUUCUCCAUCAUUGAAACCACCUCGACGGCCACCACGACCACGAGGCCCACCAUAUCCACGUCUUUCAGAUGUCUUACCACCCACUCCAUCUUCAGGUGCAUUAAUGUUCUCAUUAUUGGUAGAGUCUCGAUUAAACCCACCACCCUCGCGACCUCGCCCAUACCCAUAUCCCCGUCCUCCACCUCGUCCACUGCCACGACCUCCACGACUGCCUUCAUUCCUUGAUUCUCUUACUACACAAAGUAAGAAAAAGAUUAUCUUAAUCACUUAAUGGAUAAUUCGUUUCAGUGGACACUCACAAGAAUUUGAAGGAUAAACAAUAGUAGGUCGGUAAAUUAUAAUCUAACAGGACGAAGAAAGACAAAAAAAAUGUUACUGGUAUGAUAACGAAGAAUUGUUUGCACAGUUCCAAGUUCCCAAAAAAGAUCCCAAAUCGAUAAACAAUCACAAAUUCAACUUGGUAAUGUUCAACUGCUAUCAGUAGAUGACUAUUAAAAAUCAACGUAAAGAAAAACAACAUAUCAUAGUAAGAAAACAAAAUCUUAUUUAAGCCUUGAAACAUUAAAAUAAAAUUUAUUUAUUCACAACUGCAUUUCAGACAUCAGAUUUCAGCCAAAAGCAAUACUUCAAUACGUUAAUCCUCCAAUCACAAUACCAAAACAAACAACUCAUUCGGUAUUAUCUAAGUUACGAACAAAAUUCAACUGCCAAACACACAAUAAAACGAAGACAACAGUUCCAUCCCACAAAUUUUUUGAGAAAAAAAAAAAGAGGAAAUUUUCAACACUCCAACCAAAUUAAAAACAAUUACCAUCCUUCGCUCUUACGUAGAAUUAAAUAAGAAAAACAAACACCUAAAACCGAAACGAAUAAACAUUAUCUGAAAAAUGUAAAAUCGAUCGACCAAAGGGAUACUUUUUAAAAAAAGAAAAACAUAAAUAUUCAAAACGAAACCAAAAAUUAAGCAACGAAGAAUCUUACCAGCCUGAGCAGGUGGAAGAGGCUUGGAAGGAAGACUAGCAGGCUUAUUCAGUUGGGCCCCAGAAGGAAGGGGUUUGGUCUGAGCAGGGGCUUUCUUAGACAGCGGCGCCGUGGCCACCGCCGCCACCUUAGCCGCAAUUAGCUGAGAGGGGUCCUCAGCAUCAUCAUCCCCCAACAAAUCAAAAGGAUUAAGGGUGGUCAUUUGGAAACAAUCUGGAAACCAAAAACCCCAAAAAAAGAGCUAACAAAAAAAAAGGAAAAUUAAUUCCACUCCGAGAAAGGAGAUCAACAAAACCUAU